GUUCAUUUAGUUUAGAAGUGGGAAAGUGAAUGUCUGGUUCAGGGAUGGAUUUUGGCCCGGAGAGCGGUGGCGCUGGCAUAAUUUUAACGCCGGCACGGUUUGUGUGGCCAUAUGGGUGAAGGAGUGUGUACUUAAGUGGCUCUUUUACAGGGAUAAGUAAGAGAACGCUUCCAACAAGGUUUGGGAAGCAUAGAGGAUUUGCUUUUGUCGAGUAUGUAAACCAAACAAGAGACGAAAAACGCCCUUCAAGCUCUCUCUAUCAAACACUAAUUUUUAUGGACACAAUCCGGAAAUGGUGAAGGCUCGAUCAAGAAUAAUGGUAUACGAAGGAGGAGUGUUGCAGGUGAAAACAUCUUUGGUUUUAAAAAGUGCGCAUAUGGCCCAAAGUGCAAGCUGUUAACCCCCCUGGGCGAAUGUUUUCCUAUGUAAUCCAUCAUGCUUGAUUACAUAUUUGCGCGGGCUAUUUUAAAAUUUGUUUACACAUGUUAGUAUUUGAAACAUGAUGAAGUACAAGUGUAUGGGUUAGGGACUCUACCAGUUUUUAUUUUUUGAAUUAAGGGUUUAUUAGUUGUGUCAUGAUUGUUUUGUUUAAGGUCCCCAGAUUUAAGUCGUUUUGCUAAUAUCACCAUAUUAUUCUUGAUAUUAGGAUA